UACGUAGGCAGCAAGCGUUGUUCGGAAUUACUGGGCGUAAAGCGUGCGUAGGCGGUUUGUUAAGUCCGUUGUGAAAGCCCUGGGCUCAACCUGGGAAUUGCAGUGGAUACUGGCGAGCUAGAGUGCGGUAGAGGAUGGUGGAAUUCCCGGUGUAGCGGUGAAAUGCGUAGAUAUCAGGAGGAACACCGAUGGCGAAGGCAGGUCUCUGGGCCGAUACUGACGCUGAGGAGCGAAAGCAUGGGGAGCGAACAGG
rnacentral:rRNA from 1 species